UACCACAUCCAAGGAAGGCAGCAGGCGCGCAAAUUACCCACUCCCGGCACGGGGAGGUAGUGACGAAAAAUAACGAUACGGGACUCAUCCGAGGCCCCGUAAUCGGAAUGAGUACACUCUAAACCCUUUAACGAGGAUCAAUUGGAGGGCAAGUCUGGUGCCAGCAGCCGCGGUAAUUCCAGCUCCAAUAGCGUAUAUUAAAGUUGUUGCGGUUAAAAAGCUCGUAGUCGAAUCUGUGUCUCGCGCCGCCGGUUCAUCGCUCGCGGUGUCAACUGGCGUGUCGCGGGACGUCCUGCCGGUGGACUUAGCCUUUCGGGGCGGUCCAACUUGAAAUCCCACCGCGGUGCUCUUCACUGAGUGUCGAGGUGGGCCGGCACGUUUACUUUGAACAAAUUAGAGUGCUUAAAGCAGGCUAAAACUUCGCCUGAAUAUUGUGUGCAUGGAAUAAUGGAAUAGGACCUCGGUUCUAUUUUGUUGGUUUUCGGAACCCCGAGGUAAUGAUUAAUAGGAACGGAUGGGGGCAUUCGUAUUGCGACGUUAGAGGUGAAAUUCUUGGAUCGUCGCAAGACGGACAGAAGCGAAAGCAUUUGCCAAAAACGCUUUCAUUGAUCAAGAACGAAAGUUAGAGGUUCGAAGGCGAUCAGAUACCGCCCUAGUUCUAACCAUAAACGAUGCCAGCUAGCGAUCCGCCGACGUUCCUCCGAUGACUCGGCGGGCAGCUUCCGGGAAACCAAAGCUUUUGGGUUCCGGGGGAAGUAUGGUUGCAAAGCUGAAACUUAAAGGAAUUGACGGAAGGGCACCACCAGGAGUGGAGCCUGCGGCUUAAUUUGACUCAACACGGGAAACCUCACCAGGCCCGGACACCGGAAGGAUUGACAGAUUGAGAGCUCUUUCUUGAUUCGGUGGGUGGUGGUGCAUGGCCGUUCUUAGUUGGUGGAGCGAUUUGUCUGGUUAAUUCCGAUAACGAACGAGACUCUAGCCUGCUAACUAGGCGUAUUUUCGACAUCUCAAAGGCCCGCCGGCCCGGCGCUUUGCGUCGCGGUCGCGCGCGGUUUUUACUGUCGGCGUACAAUCAAUUCUUCUUAGAGGGACAGGCGGCUCCUAGCCGCACGAGAUUGAGCAAUAACAGGUCUGUGAUGCCCUUAGAUGUUCUGGGCCGCACGCGCGCUACACUGAAGGAAUCAGCGUGUCCUCCCUGGCCGAGAGGCCCGGGUAACCCGCUGAACCUCCUUCGUGCUAGGGAUUGGGGCUUGCAAUUGUUCCCCAUGAACGAGGAAUUCCCAGUAAGCGCGAGUCAUAAGCUCGCGUUGAUUACGUCCCUGCCCUUUGUACACACCGCCCGUCGCUACUACCGAUUGAAUGAUUUAGUGAGGUCUUCGGACCGGUACGCGGUGGCGCUUCCGCGUCGCCGAUGUUGCUGGGAAGAUGACCAAA
rnacentral:rRNA from 1 species